CAUAUAAAUAGACAAGAACGCAUGCUCAACUUUAGUCUUGUUCUCUUUCUAAAGACAACAACCCUCAGAAAAAGACUAAGGUGAUCAAGGGUGAACAGAUCAAAAUGAAAGUAUUGGUAUUUUUCUGCGUUCUUGUCAUCAUAAGCCGCGACAAUGCCAUGGGAGCAAAAUGUACUUUUCUAAAUAAGAGAACAAAUGUUUGCGGUGGUGAAAGCAAGAUCAAGAGAGAAACCGCCAGCAAGUUUGUUAUUCCUGACGACGUUGAGCUGAGAGGUGAAAUGACACAGGAUCCCAAAAGCCCGCUUUAUCACCCAAUGAAAAACAUAUAGACUCAAAGGUCCUAAUAGUCAGGAACAAGGUUAAUGUACUGCCGACAACUAAGUCAAAACGUAUAAAGUGGAGUUUAGUUAUCACAAGUAAUGAUGUGGCUAUGCAACAUGAUUAAUAAAAUGAGACGUAUUCACGCAUUAAAAAACUAGUAUUGCCUGA